CUGUGGUACAGCAGGCUGACAGAGAAGAACCUGAUAGAUGCGUUCAUCCCUUUUCUACCACUGGGGAAGAAGCAUGUCAAACAGUGUAUCGAGGAUGAUCUCAGGGCUAAGGGCCACACCGUGACAGAAGAUGUAGUAACGAAGGUCGCAGACGAGCUGCAGUACUUCCCCGACCAGGAGCAGCUGACCCUGUACUCCAAGUCUGGCUGCAAGAGGGUGUCGCAAAAGGUCGACCUUGUCAUGGAGGAACUCUAGCCCACAUAGACUUAAAUGUUUUGGUAUCCUAGGCUAGACAGCAAUUAGCCCAUGGCUACUUCCCCUCAGCAGAUGAGAAGCUCCAGACCUAUUUUCUGUGGAUAUAUCCACAAAGUGUAGGGCUAUGAAAAAAGUAUGAUGCUAUUUUAUGCAAAUGAAGAAAAAAGUGUGGUGCUAUCAAGCAAAUCAGUGGUGUUAUCACACUAAAAGUAUGUGUGCUGUUCUAAACAAUCCUUUCUUUCCUUUGGGCCCUUCUUCUGGAAACUAAAUUGUGUCAUGUGAUAACUGUUUUACACUAUUUUGCUAUAUACAGUCUGUAUAUGUCCUAUAUUAGUAAUUUGUACCCUCCAUUGUCUUCUACUUUCCCGUUGGAUCCAUGGUUCAUGUUUUUGUCUAUGUCCUUAUGUUUUAUUUAUGUGAACUGUAUAUUUACAUGUAGAACGCAAGAAAAUAAAGUAACAUUUUGUAGAACAGAUGAAUUAGAGAAGCUUCGGGAAAGUAUGCCAUGGGCUAAGUUAGUUAACUGAUGGGUUUAGCCUCAUCUUCUGUAUAUAAGCACCAGGCCUGCCACCUCGGGAAUUUCAAGUCUCCUAAGAAACUGCAGACUAGAAACUCCUCGAUGGGCGGGCCUGGUACUAUACAUAGAAAAGAACGAUUGUAUGAAGUUGUGAUCAUAGUUAAGAACAAUAGUGGUGACUGACAGGAGUCGGAUUCUUAUGUGUUGAUGAUUUCUUAGUGAUGUGCAAUGGUGUAGAGUGACAGAACACCUGUUGCUUCUCCCCUCUCUCCGAGUUGGUACAAUCCAAAACCUUUGACAGUUGUAUUUAAACCUUUAGUAUAAAGUUUUGGCCAGUUGUACCCAAAGCAGUUCCAGGGGGUAUAUAGUCUGAGAAUUCACAACCUCUCCGGAUUGACCCUCAGGUGAAGACUCCGAGGAGCUUUUUAGUGCAAAACUAACUUAUUUUUCUACGACUUGACAUUUAAUGUCACUGAAGCCCUGGACUUUUGAGAAGUUAUUAAUCCAAAUUUACAAAUUUUGCGGACCAAUCAGAUGUUAGGGAUUUCCGUAAGAUUAGCGUUAUUCCAUCUUAGCCCAACCCAAUAUUUAGAAGAUAAAAAGGAGACACUCAAUUCAGAGAGUGCAGUUUUUUUGUGCCGAUAAGUUGUGCCGAGCGGUUGUUAAAGCUGAGACUGGAAAUACCUGAAAGUUUGGAACUCAGAGACAGAACGUAGCAUUUGAAGAGUGGGGAAUAAUUCUGGUUGGAAACCACAGCCAUCACGAUCGAAGUGGGGGAAUGAAUAAAGGCAAGUCGAGCUGAA